GACUUUUAAGAACCUAUGUUACAAGACACCAAAAAAUAUACGGAAGGUUCUCUCUCUCCUCUUUAGAGAGAGAGAGCUCUCUUUCUUUUUUUCCUUGUUCACACACCCUUAUCUUUCACAGGGAGAAAGAGAUUUGUCUUAUGUUUUGAUGUGAAAUACUUUUCGAUCGAAAGAUCGAUUUCUUUUGUUUGCUUUGGCGAUUGUGUUUUCCGGUUAGCGGAUUUCUCUUCGUUCGGCGAAGUUUUGAUGUGAUCUUUCAAAAACAAAUCGAAUCGUGUUCUUAAAGUUUAAUCCUUUUUCGAUUUGCUUUUGAAAUUAAUAAAAGUUUUCUACAUCUUUCACCGUUCUUCAUUUUUAUUCCGUUGAUCCUUUAAUCGGAUACUAUGUUUCCAGAAUCAACUUUACUUCUCUUUAAAAAGAUUCAGUCUUUACCAAUUUUAGAAUAGCCAGUUUGGCAUAAGGGAAAGCAUCUUUGCUAAGAGAAGAAGAGUUUUGUUGGGAUUUAUUAGAUCUUUUUGGAAUGGAUUCAGCAGAAUCGGCGUUCUUACGGUCCGGCAAAGAUUCCUUUUUCAUCUGAUCUAAGCUUUCCUCUGGUUUAUCAUCAGCGAAGCAUGGUCCCUCUGAUUAUUUGAUCACGGUUGAGUGAAAGAUGACUGGAGUACAAGAACCAGGCGAAUCGAGUUGAUGCGGUGGCUGUGGUGAAAAAGCGUUGCCGGAAUCUUCUCUGCAGCGGCGAAGAAGUCAAGCGACGGUGAGAAGGACGGUGAAGAUGACCUACGUGUCUCUCAAUACACCAAGAAUUGCCACAUCGCAAUUACUCUUCAGUUUCCACACACGUGUUUUAUGAAAUUAUUGUACUAUAUUUUGUUUGUUAGUGUGUUGGGCUUAAAGCCUAUUCUGUUUUCCAUUCUAGUCCAAAAGCUUUAAUGAAAAGCAAAGCAGUUGACCAAAAAAAGACUUUUAAGAACCUUGUAAUUUAGAGGAAUUCAUAAAGAUUAAUAUUUUUUCAAUUUUUUUCUUUGUUAUUCUUUCCUUCUCUAUAGUAAUUUUUGUUAUUUGGUUAGUUUCAAAUUUAGGACUAGAUAAAAUUU
rnacentral:lncRNA from 1 species